rnacentral:rRNA from 1 species
CCUACGGGAGGCAGCAGUGAGGAAUAUUGCACAAUGGGGGCAACCCUGAUGCAGCGACGCCGCGUGGGUGAUGAAGGUUUUCGGAUCGUAAAGCCCUUUUCUGCAUGACGAGACAGGACGGUAGUGCAGGAAGAAGUGUCGGCUAACUACGUGCCAGCAGCCGCGGUAAAACGUAGGACACAAGCGUUAUCCGGAAUUACUGGGCGUAAAGGGCGUGCAGGCGGUUGGGUAAGUUAGGCGUGAAAGACUUCGGCUAAACCGGGGGAGGUCGUCUGAUACUGCUCAACUUGAGUGUGGUAGAGGCGUGUAGAAUUCCGGGUGUAGUGGUGAAAUGCGUAGAGAUCCGGAGGAAUACCAGUGGCGAAGGCGGCACGCUGGGCCAUUACUGACGCUAAGACGCGAAAGCAUGGGUAGCGAACGGGAUUAGAUACCCUAGUAGU